UUUUUUUUUUAAGCAAGCUUUACUGCACAUAUAUGCUUUAUAACGUAGAUUUUUUUUACAUUUAAGGAGAAAUUUAGAGACCUCAGGGAUGUGGGACGUGAUGGUCACUUUCUCUACAUGAGUUGCUGUCUCCUAGGGUCUGCGCCUUCAGUUCAGUGACAAGAAUUUGAAGUGAGAAUGAAGAGGAUGCCCAGUCACAAGAGCAGCAAAGGGGCUGGCGAGUGGAAGGCCAUCCUCCUAGGCGGAGCAGGAGCCAUCGGGGGGUACUGGUGCCCUGCUGCAGGCACUGAGGGGAGGAACUAGUGCUGCUCAGCCUUGAUCAAUUUUGUGGUGCUGGAAUGAAGAGCAGCCAUCACUCAUGCUGCUUAAACUACGGCAUGAUCCUGCUGCCAGAGCGUGCUCCUUUUUUGCCUUUGUCUUCUCAUAAUGAAUUCACAUUCUCUACCAGUUCUUGCCAAAGACUUUCCAGCUGUGGAUCAAUCUCUCUCCUCAUAGACCUGAGGCUCUCUCUGUCAUCCCCUCAUGGAUGGGAGCAUCUCCUCUCUGUGCUUUUAUCUACAAAGCAGAAUUUUGGCCAGCUUCUCUUGACUUUGAAGCUAUCUUUUGCUGGUCACAUGAUUCUCUCACUCUUGUGAUCAGCAGUUCUGUCACUGAUGCCCUGGAUAAUCACCUGAGAUUAUCUUGUGAUGAAUGCCUCUCAUCUUUCAGAUGUUAGGAAGCUGUUAGGCUAAGAGCUGCCCCUUUCUUUUCUUCUCAACACAAUAAAAACUUCCCUUCAAGUCCACUUUCUGCUUCCACGUCAAUUCCUGUAAAUUCCUCUCUAAAAUUCCAUUGCAGUUUCUGUUGGCUCUUUCCCUCAGAAGUGAGAGUAUUUUGAUCUACAGUGCCUCCUAGCCAAGAAGUAUACAGCCAAAUUACUGACUAUCUCUAAGAUCUCUUUCAUUUGCAGCUUAAGUCUGUGUUGUAGCAUGCUUAAAGAACCAGUUGAUGGAGAUCAGUAGUUUGGGGGCAUGAUGGGAAGGGUACUUUUCUAUCUACUUGAAUAAAUUCAUCUCCAGCAUAUUUUGUCAUAGGUUAUAGUGUUUUGCAAAAGGCAGGUAGGUUGAUGCAUGUGUGUGAUAAUCACCAGCAUUAGGCCAGACCUGCUUGUUAACUUUUGUAUGAUAAGCAAGCAUGAGCACACAGGGCUUUCUCUUAUGUCAAAACACGCUUGUAGCAAAGCACAAAAACAGUGCUGUGCAGAAUGCUGCCCAUCAGCUGAUGGGAGCGUUUCUGACACACACACAGGACAGCUCCUGCGUACCUGUUUCAAAGGAGGAGCUUUUAUCUGGUUCAGCGCGCUGUCCUGGGGCCCUUCCUGCCUUUGCUGCUACUUCAUGGUCUUCCUAUGCUGGGAAAAGGAACAUAGCGAAGUUUUUAUGCCUAUGGAUCCCACUGUCUGCUCUGCACUGGAAGAGAUUCCUCACACCACUAAAAUCACCUUAGAGCAAACAGAAAAACCAGCUUUCUAGGCUUGCUUAGAUGGAAAGAAGCACCCUUCAACCCCACCCUAACCAUACCACCUUCUGCAACUCUGAGUCCUCAUGCCACUUCUGCAGGAAACAGAAGGCUGAGAAAGUCACUCAGUUCCAUGAUGUGUUUCCACAGGCCACGAUGCCUAAAAUCUGCUCUUCUGACUCACAAAUCACAGAAAAUUGCAACAAGGUGGUUUUUUUUUUCUCUUUUUCUUUUUUUUUUCUUUCUUUCCCCUGAUUAAAAUUCAACACUGGAAAAUAACAGGAAUUAAGACUAAAACUCAUUUGGCUAACACAGCUCUAUAAAAUCUAUUUGGAAUGCUUGUAUUAAAAUAGUAAAAAUCAUCAAUGACUUACUGAGAAGCAGGCUGAGAAAAGCUUGGGAGUGCCAGGAGCAACUCCUCUCUGCUGAGGGGUUAAGAGCGUGAAAUGCUUAAAUGAAGUUUUUAAAAGAGGAAAAACUGAUAGCAAUAGGAGAAAGGAGUUCCAUUUCAGUCCUUAGCUCACAUCAGUGGGUUUGUCAGUGCCUUGUGCUCUCUCUGCAGUGAGUUGGAGCCAUCUCUUGCACUGCAGCCAGCAGAAGUGGUUUGACGCAUCACUACAACACACGUUUGAAACGUCACUGAUCUGCAAUCAGUGAUUUCUACCCAAAGAUUACAAAAUACUUGACAAACUGAACCAAGUGGAUGAGUCAGAAAGCAAAACCUGUUCAACAGAAGAGCAAAGUCAAGACACAGCAGUUGCAAGUAAUUUGUCCCAAAUGCGAGCAGAGCAAAAUCUGGACCAGGAGCCUGGAGGCUGCCUUCCCAGCUCCACGCUCCAACCUCCGCACUGCAUUCUUUGCUUCUCUCUUAACCACAACGGCCUCUGAAAAUAACCCUUCAAAGGCAUUUCUUGGUAGUAACAAAUGAACCAUCAAAACCUAAACAAAGAACCCAGCAGUCGAGACGAUGCGAGUUAACAAACAGAAAUAACUAAGCCCGCUUUGUCCUCUGCUUAUUUCCAAACGGAUAAAGCCCAGGUCAUUUGCACAGACUUCCUCCUUCCCCUCUUCUUUGCAGCCGCUUAGGAGUCCCCAGGAGACAGCACCAUUUUCCUUUGCUUUCCAAUCUUUAAAAUAUAUUCAUUCCAGUUUUCAAAUUGCUAUUUUGUAGUGCUAAAUCUCUACCCACACUAAUUUCUCCAGGUCAGAAUCUGACCCUGAUUUGAACAAAAUCUGGAGUCAAAUAUUCACACCAGAAUGCUUCUGCCUUGCUGCAUGUCAGAUGCCAUCUUCCUGCAAAUGUGUCACACACCUUGGAGUGCAGCUUGUGGAACUGAUGAGGUGAAGAGCGCCGCGGAGCAGCUCUGUGCUGGUAAUCACAGGACUGAAGAAACACAUACAUCAUCUGCCACAUAGGUGAGAGCACUCCCAGCUGCUCCGAGGACCUUCAGGUCACCCUCAGCACCCAAAGCAGACAGCAUUUCUCCCGCUGAAGCACCCACACUGCCUGGUGCCUGGCUGACCUGAGCUGUGCUCCAUUCUAAACCAUCCAGGUGGUGGCUCUCAGCUUCUGGCCCAAGUGCUCCUUUGGUUAGAGCAGCAGCAGCCUGUGCCAAGCCUCACUCCACACAGUAUCAGAUGCCACUGCCAAAAGCCUCAGCGACAGGGUCUUGGGAUAACCCCAGCGCACGUCUCUCUGCUCAGGCUUGCACAGGGCAUUCUACAGUGCUGGUACGUAAUCCGGAAAUCAUCGUAAGUAAUAAUUAAACAUUGAGUCAGAUUAAUUCCAGGCUUGCUUGCCCUGGAUAAUAAUACUAUUAAUUCUCCAGAGAGGAAAGUAAGACAAUAAUGAGAAAACUAAACACACAUAAUUCCACAAAAUGCACAGGAAAUAUUUCCAGUGUUAAUUUUGUAAUAUGGAAUAUUCAUGUUGUAAUAUGGUGGUGACAUAAAAUAUGCAGCAGCGGCAAAUAGAGGAAAGUUGAUGGCCUGCCAAGGCUGUUUCUCCUUAACAUGCAGAUGGUUCCUGAGCAGUCACUCCUGCUGAGGCAGCUGCCUGCACAGUGCUCCCAGAGGACUUCAUCCAGCUCCGAAGUGGGAUCGGACUACAGCCUGGGAUCACAUGGAAACCCACCCAGACUGGGGGAUGGCCUCGGAGGGUGCUUCCUGCCGCCAUGUCAGAGACAUUGUGCUUACAUGCAGCAAUCUAGGUGCCGGGGAGCGAUGUCUACAUGAUAUAUGGCUGCUGGCAAAAUGAUCCUGUCCGUGGGCUAUUGCUGGCUCUAAUUAAAGGAAGACACAGGCUACUGAGUUGGGGUCCCUUCCAUCGAAGCUGAGAGGACAGCAAUCUCCAAGAGAGCUGCAAAGGAGGACAGAUUCAUUUGACUGAUUGCAUGAUGUCUGAAUUAAUGGUCAGGAAAAGAACCAUUAUUGUGCUCUUACUGGUAGGCUGCUUCUGGGAGUUUUUACUGUGCUAUCUGCUUGAAUGUGGAAGUAAAGCAAUGCAUUCUUUGAGGCACAGCUGUA